AGUGGUGGUUUGGUUUAUUACGGUCACAUGUACCAAGAUACAGUUGAAAAGCUUGUCUUUUUAGUGCUCAUGAAAAUCGAGUGAUUACCUAGUGCAUUGAGCUGUGAUAAAGUAAAACAGUAGCAAUGAAGAACAAUGUGCUGAGUCUACCGAAAAAUAUACCGGAAGAAAGUGCAGCGCAGCUAAACGAAACGUCCAAGAUCAUAACGAGGUAGAUUGUGAGGCCAAGAGUCCACCUUUUCGUACAAGAGAUGCGUUCAAAACUGAUACAGUGGGUUCGAAGUCGUCUUUGAGCCUGGAGGUACGUGUCUUCAGGCUUGUACAGUAUAUCUUUUGCCCGAUGGGAGAGGGUCCCCAGAAACGUCGACUCUUUUUCUUCUUCGUUGAUGCAGCGCUUCUCCAGCAUUGUGUGUGUUGCAGAAGAGAGAAUGUUCUGCUGUCCAUCUGGUUUCUCCCUAUGACUCCGGUCUACGGCUCAGGUCCGGUCAGAUGGAGGCACAGUUCCGUGCCGAGUCCGACAGGUAGACCGCGGGGACUCGGCCGUCAAUCGUACACAGCCCGCCCAAUCGCGGCCGCCUUCAGUGCCAAUCACGACCCGCCCCCCGCCGCGCCGCAGCCAAUCGGCGACCGGCUCGUCCCGGAACGCAGCAUUUCCACGUCGGCAAAAGAGAGGAGGAUGGGGGUAAAUGGAGAGUGUGGGGCAUCGGCAGCGGUGGCAGCAGAGGUUCGGGGCUGGGCUUCAAAACCGCCCUUACUGCCCCGUCUCUCUCUGGGCUCGGCAGGGAGCUGGAUUUCAACACAACCCUCCGGCUCGGAGGAGAUCUGCUCUUUCCCGGUUUCCGCUGGAUCACGAGGGCUCUGACCCGACUCUCACCUCUGGUCCGGAGAGCCGCGCUCGGACCUCUGCCUCAUGAGAGCUGGGGUCUGAAUGGCCGGUGUCUGGCACGGAUGCUGCCUGACAUGCUGAGUUCCUCCAGCACUUUGUGUGUGUUAUUCUGGAAAUAUCAAUAUCACCUUCCCCAGAUGAACUCGGAAUAUGUUUGUUUUAUUUGGAGUAACCUUUGACACUCUGAGCCUAUCAAAAGCCUAUCAGCCUGAGCUUUAAAAAUACCCAAUGACUUGACCUCCACAGCCAUCUGUGGCGAUGUAUUCCACAGGUUCACCACUCGCUCGCUAAAGAAAUUCCUCAUCUGUUCUAAAGGGAUGUCCUUGUUUAAAUCCUAUGGUGAUGUCUUUGACCAAGAAGUCUUCUCAAUGCAUAGUUUAAAUGGGAUCCACUAGGAUGAACUGGGCUUAAUCAUGAUUCUUGAUGUAUAUCGAUGUGGUCGUGAAGAAGGCACACCAGCGGCUAUACGUCAUUAGGAGUAUGAUGAGGUUUUGUAUGUCACCAAAGACUCUACCAGAUUUCUGCAGGUGCACCAUGGAGAGCAUUCUAACUGGUUGCACGUUGCCUGGUGUAGAGGUUCCAACGUACAGAACAAAAGAGGUUACAGAAGGUUGUGAACUCAGCCAGCUCCAUCAUGGGCACAAGCCUCCCCACCAUGCAGGACAUCUUGAAAAGGCGAUGCCUCAUGAGGGUGGCAUCCAUCAUUAUGGGCCCCUCAUCGCUCAGAACAUAACCUCCCCUCAUCGCUACCAUCAUGGAAGAGGUGCAGGAGCCUAAAGACACACUCAAUAUUUUAGGAAUGGUUUCUUCCCCUCUUGCCAUCAGAUUUCUGAACAGUUCCUGACACCACUUCUCUACUCCUCUUUUGCACUACUGUUUUAUUAUUUGCAACUUAAAAUUUACACUUAUUUUUUACUGUAAGUUAUAGUAUUGUUUUAUGUAUUGCACUGUACUGCUGCUACAGAAUAACACAUGUUAGCACAAAUGUCAGUGAAAAUAAUUGUGAAUCUGACAGUCUGAUAUAUUUACAAUAAUUUGAUGGCUUCUGAUGUGUAAAGGAUUAGCUUUAUUUGUCAUGUGCAUCAAAAUGAACAGUGAAAUGUAUGAUUUGUGUCGACGACCAGCACAGUCCAAUGAUGGGUUGGGGGCAGUCUGCAUGUACUGCCAUGCUUCUGGUGCCAAUGUAGCAUGCUCACAACUUACUAACCCUCACCCAUAUAGUCAUAGUCAUAGUCAUACUUUAUUGAUCCCAGGGGAAAUUGGUUAAAUUUGUCUUUGGGACAAGUAUGUCCCAAAUAUGUCUUUGGGAGUAAGCUGGAGUACCCAGAAGAAGCAACGUGGUCACAGGGAGAACCUACAAGCACCUUAUAGACAGCAGUGGGAAUUGAACCCCAAUUACCUUUGCUUUAACUGUAUUGUUAACUUCUCUGCCACCCAAAUGUUGCCUUAUGAUUCAAUUUCCUACCUAGUUCCCACAAGUAGAGGUCUUGGCCACGAUAACGAAGUGUUUGGACCGGGACAGACUAUUGAUGAUGUUCACAUUUAGCAGCUUGAAACUCUCAGCCUCAACAUUGUAGACGUAAAUGGGAGUGCCAUUCCCCUUUCCAAAUUCAAUGACAAACUCUGUCAUUUUGUUUUAGUUUAUUCACAAGCUGCGAGUUUAAUUGGCUAGAGUAUUGCCCAAGAGAAUGCAGCUGGGAAUCAUUUCAGUCUGUAUGGUAAAGGGUGGAAAGUUCCAAAUUUUUAUUUGGGGACAAUGAAGGCAGAGAAAUUAUAGCUCCAAGUCACCACUAAUUGACCUGGAAGGGAAUGUCUAACAGCCGGUGUUCACAAGCACCAGCUCUCUUUGUUCUUCUAGAAGGUCAAGGUCCAGGGUAAAUCUUGAGUCAAUAUUUAAAAACUUUGUCCUUUAGUUGAGCAAAUAUCUAGUUCACUUAUAGUCCGGUUCACAAAUGAUAUAUUGAGAAUGUAACCUAAGUACUUUGUGAAUACUUUGUUCCAUACUGAUCUUGUUAAAAAUAUAAUAUACUGUACACAACAUGCAAACAGUAUAUACGAGGCAGUGAUAUUUUACCAGAUGAAUGUUUUUACAUGGUGAGAUUUAUGAAGGUGGUGAGGAUGUUUAAGGAUCUCAUUUUAUUUUGGGUCACAUGUAUAAGAUCACAUGAAGUAUUUAAUGUUAUUAAUUGAUAUGAACAAUUGCAUUAUCUUAUUUAUAACAAAAGGCUGGAGUACUGCAGCAGUUAGAGGUUCCUUGAGGAUGCCGUUAUUAAACAGUUUACUCUUGAAAAUGUACAAGGACAACUUUUUUCCUCACACGUGCCUUUUUGAAACAGGGCGGCGCAAAGCAGUUAGUGUAGUUUACUGCGCUGGUGAUCAGAAGAUGGGUUUAGUUUUCACCGCUGUCCGUAAGGGGUUAGUACCUCAGAACUUGAAGCUCUCCCUCCAUCCUUUCAACAUCAACACCAUUCCCGUAGAUGCCGGCAUGUGCACCACCCCUCCCCCCUUUCUGAAGUCAAUGACCAGCUCUUUUGUUGACUUUGAGGGAAAGGUUAUUGUCAUGACACCCUGUCACGAAGCUCUCUAUCUCCUUCUUGUGCUCUGACGCAUCGUUAUUUGAGAUGUGGCCCGCGACAGUGGUAUUAUCAGUAAACUUGUAGAUGGAGUUAGAUCUUGGGGUAACUGUGGUUCCGCCAUGUAGGUGACAUAGCUUUGCACACUGGCAUCGUGUUUUGAAGCUCAAACUUCAAAGUAAAUUUAUUGUCAAAGUACAUACAUGUCACCAGAUUCAUUUUCUUGUGGGCAUUUACAAAGAAACACAACAGAAUUGAUGAAAAAUUGCACACAACAAAGGUGGACGAACAAUAAAUGUGCAAAUAAAUGUAGUAAAUACAGAGAUCAUGAGUAGUUUUGAGAAUGUGGGUAGUUACUGUAAUGUUUUACACAGCCAGUUGUAAGAACAGGAUUCAAUCUCUGCCACCAUCUGUGAGGGGUUAGUACAUCUCCACAUGUCCAUGUGUUUUUCCUCUGGAUGCUCUGGGAGAGGGGAGGGAAUGAGAAGCACCAGAGAGACAUUCUGUAAUAAUCAAUUGUUGUUUGGAAUUGAAUGACUUUGCCUGGUGUCUCAGAGCUGAGUGUAUCCGCACCCCCCCCCCCCCACCCGGCAUUCUUCUGCCACUUAUCCCACACCCCUCUUGUGGCACUCCACCCUCUCCGUUCCAAACAUCUUUUAUUUCCACCUGAUUUACAAACUCCCUGCCCGCUCCAUGUUGAUAAAUACAGUACGGUCUUUUGCACAGUGCCACACGGAUUAGGGUCAGCAAGUUGCUGGAAUGCUAUGUUGGUGCAGGAAGUGUGUCGACACGUGCUGGUGCCCCCCAGCACAUCCUCGGACUACAUAGAAUCCUAGAAAUCUACAGCACAUUACAGGCCCUUCGGCCCACAAUGUUGUGCCAACCAUGUAACCUACUCUAGAAACUGCCUAAAAUUACCCUACUUCAUAGCCCUUUAUUUCUUCUAAGCUCCAUGUACCUAUCUAAGAGUCUCUUAAAAUACCCUAAUGUAUCUGCCUCUACUACUGUGCUGGCAGUGCGUUCCAUGCAAAUUUUACCUCUGACAACCCCUUGUAUCUACUUCGAAGCACCUUAAAACUGUGCCCCCUCGUGCUAGCCAUUUUAGCCCUGGGAAAAAGCCUCUGGCUAUCCACACGAUCAGUGCCUCUCAUCAUCUUAUACACCUCUAUCAGGUCACCUGUCAACUUUCGUCACUCCGAGGAG